UGGCGUUAUAAUGCUAAUCUUUCUCUCCAGCUCCAGAUGGAUCCUUCCGGUAACUUCUACAACUACAGAACAGCGUUUAGAGGAGCUACACAGAGGUCCAGAACAGCCAACAGCACUAGAGAGAAGAUCGUCAUCCCGUUCUUCAGCCUACUGAUCAAAGACAUCUAUUUCCUGAACGAGGGAUGUUCCAACAGGAUGCAGAAUGGACAUGUAAACUUUGAGAGAAUGAGGAAGUAAGACUUCUGCUCUGCAGUGGAAUUAAGACUUUAUCAUUGGAGACCCAGACAGUCAUCAGGGCAGACAGUCAUCAGGGCAGACGGUCAUCAGGGCAGACGGUCAUCAGGGCAGACGGUCAUCAGGGCAGACGGUCGUCAGGGCAGACAGUCGUCAGGGCAGACAGUCGUCGGGUCAGACGGUCGUCGGGGCAGACGGUCGUCGGGGCAGCCAGUCAUCGGGGCAGACAGUCAUCAGGGCAGACAGUCAUCAGGGCAGCCAAGUCAUCAGGGCAGACAGUCAUCAGGGCAGCCAAGUCAUGAGAUAAGUGAAUGUUACCAUCAGUUGUGGUACUGUUAAAUCAUUUCUACUGUGACCAGCCAUUCAUAUAUUUUGGGUUAACAUUCCAUUAAUCUAUGUUGGGUUAACAUUACAUUAAUCUAUGUUGGGUUAACGUUACAUUCAUCUAUGUUGGGUUAACAUUCCAUUCAUCUAUGUUGGGUUAACGUUACAUUCAUCUAUGUUGGGUUAACAUUACAUUCAUCUAUGUUGGGUUAACAUUGCAUUCAUCUAUGUUGGGUUAACGUUACAUUCAUCUAUGUUGGGUUAACGUUCCAUUCAUCUAUGUUGGGUUAACGUUCCAUUCAUCUAUGUUGGGUUAACAUUACAUUAAUCUAUGUUGGGUUAACGUUACAUUCAUCUAUGUUGGGUUAACGUUCCAUUCAUCUAUGUUGGGUUAACGUUACAUUCAUCUAUGUUGGGUUAACAUUACAUUCAUCUAUGUUGGGUUAACGUUACAUUCAUCUAUGUUGGGUUAACAUUACAUUCAUCUAUGUUGGGUUAACAUUACAUUCAUCUAUGUUGGGUUAACAUUGCAUUCAUGUUUUAUUGUUGUUUUUCAGAAAUUCUGGGAGAUGGCGAAGCAAGUUAGCGAGUUCAUGGUUUGGAAGAAAGUGGAGUGUCCGUUUGAGAAGGACCGUAAGAUUCUCCAGUAUCUGCUCACCGCACCGGUCUUCAGCGAGGACACUCUGUGUCUGGCCUCCUAUGACAGUGA